CCACGCCGUAAACGAUGGAUACUAGGUGUGGGAGGUAUCAACUCCUUCCGUGCCGCCGCUAACGCAUUAAGUAUCCCGCCUGGGGAGUACGGUCGCAAGAUUAAAACUCAAAGGAAUUGACGGGGGCCCGCACAAGUAGCGGAGCAUGUGGUUUAAUUCGAAGCAACGCGAAGAACCUUACCUAGACUUGACAUCCUCUGCAUUACCCUUAAUCGGGGAAGUUCCUUCGGGAACAGAGUGACAGGUGGUGCAUGGUUGU
rnacentral:rRNA from 1 species